AUUGAACGCUGGCGGCAGGCCUAACACAUGCAAGUCGCACGAGUGGCGGACGGGUGAGUAAUGUCUUGGAAACUGCCUGAUGGCGGGGGAUAACUACUGGAAACGGUCGCUAAUACCGCAUACCAUCGGAUGUGCCCAGAUGGGAGUAGCUAGUAGGUGGGGUAAAGGCUCUCCUAGGCGACGAUCCCUAGCUGGUCUGAGAGGAUGACCAGCCACACUGUAACUGAGACACGGUCCAGACGCCGACGUGAGGCAGCAGUGGGGAAUAUUGCACAAUGGGCGCAAGCCUGAUGCAGCCAUGCCGCGUGUAUGAAGAAGGCCUUCGGGUUGUAAAGUACUUUCAGCGGGGAGGCGUUACCCGCAGAAGAAGCACCGGCUAACUCCGUGCCAGCCGCCGCGGUAAUUC
rnacentral:rRNA from 1 species